CCUACGGGGGGCAGCAGUGAGGAAUAUUGGUCAAUGGACGAGAGUCUGAACCAGCCAAGUAGCGUGAAGGAUGACUGCCCUAUGGGUUGUAAACUUCUUUUAUAUGGGAAUAAAACGUUCCACGUGUGGGAUUUUGUAUGUACCAUAUGAAUAAGGAUCGGCUAACUCCGUGCCAGCAGCCGCGGUAAUACGGAGGAUCCGAGCGUUAUCCGGAUUUAUUGGGUUUAAAGGGAGCGUAGGUGGAUUGUUAAGUCAGUUGUGAAAGUUUGCGGCUCAACCGUAAAAUUGCAGUUGAAACUGGCAGUCUUGAGUACAGUAGAGGUGGGCGGAAUUCGUGGUGUAGCGGUGAAAUGCUUAGAUAUCACGAAGAACUCCGAUUGCGAAGGCAGUUCACUGGACUGCAACUGACACUGAGGCUCGAAAGUGUGGGUAUCAAACAGGAUUAGAGACCCUAGUAGUC
rnacentral:rRNA from 1 species